rnacentral:rRNA from 1 species
AUUGAACGCUGGCGGCAGGCCUAACACAUGCAAGUCGAGCGAGCGGCGAACGGGUGAGUAAUGUCUGGGAAACUGCCUGAUGGUGGGGGAUCACUACACGAGACGGUAUCUAUUACCGCAUACCACAAGAUGUGCCCAGAGUGGAUAAGCUGGAAGGUGUGGUAACGGCGCACCUAGGCGACGAUCCCUAGCUGGUCUGAGAGGAUGACCAGCCACACAGGAACUGAGACACGGGCCAGACUCCUACGGGAGGCAGCAGUGGGGAAUAUGGCACAAUGGGCGCAAGCCGGAUGCAGCCAUGCCGCGUGUGUGAAGAAGGCCUUCGGGUUGUAAAGCACUUUCAGCGGGGAGGCGUUACCCGCAGAAGAAGCACCGGCUAACUCCGUGCCAGCAGCCGCGGUAAUUC